GCAUCGGUGGUUCAGUGGUAGAAUGCUCGCCUGCCAAGCAUGCGCCCCGGAUUCGAUUUCCGGCCAAGGCA